rnacentral:rRNA from 1 species
GACGAACGCUGGCGGCGUGCUUAACACAUGCAAGUCGAACGGUGAAGGGGUCUGCUUUUGUGGGCCCUGGAUGAGUGGCGAACGGGUGAGUAACACGUGAGUAACCUGCCCCCUUCUUCUGGAUAACCGCAUGAAAGUGUGGCUAAUACGGGAUAUUCUGGGUCUGUCGCAUGAUGGGUCUGGGAAAGAUUGCGCCUUUGGGUGUUUUUGGUGGGGGAUGGGCUCGCGGCCUAUCAGCUUGUUGGUGGUGUGAUGGCCUACCAAGGCGGUGACGGGUAGCCGGCCUGAGAGGGUGGACGGUCACACUGGGACUGAGACACGGCCCAGACUCCUACGGGAGGCAGCAGUGGGGAAUAUUGCACAAUGGGCGCAAGCCUGAUGCAGCGACGCCGCGUGAGGGAUGGAGGCCUUCGGGUUGUAAACCUCUUUCGCCAGUGAAGCAGGCCUGCUCCUUGUGGGUGGGUUGACGGUAGCUGGAUAAGAAGCGCCGGCUAACUACGUG